CAGGUGCCUUGCCCCAGGGACAGCCCCAGCGUGCCGGGAGGACUCAGCCCAGCCCAUUCGCAGCGGCUCACGCUGCCCUGCCUAGCCUUUCCCGCAGAACCCCCAGUGGAAGCUCCGGCCCAGGCCUUCACCGCGCUCCUCCCUGCUCCAGCCCUGGUGCCUCUCCUCCGGGCCCGUCUGGCAUGGCAUGCCUCCUCCUUUCGGAGAAAUUAACAAGGGCAAAGCCCCCUUCAGCCGUGCAGACACUCUGAACGGGAGCCUGUCAGCUUUGAGGGGACGUGGGCUGUGCAGGUUCCUCCCAGCCCGGGGCUACCUCCUCGGUCCUGGACACCAUCUGCACUCUGUCAGCCAGCAUGUCUGUCAUUUUCUUCUCAACGGACUUGAAGCUGCAGAAGGCAAUAGGGACACAGCAGUGAGGGGCACAGGCCCGAGAGCCAUGGUGGGCCACCCAGGAGCCCAGUCCUGAGUUGGGUGCUGUGCCAGAAUCAGGGACUCAGAAGCUCAGGUGUGUGCAAGUGGAGUCCCCUGGCCCCUCUGUGGGACACACAGGCUUGUUGGCAGUGGGUAUACUCCCAGCUCCCAGCCUGGCUGCAGCCCGGGGCCUUUGUGAGACUGGGGUGGGUGGCCCGCAGCCCCGGAAGCCCGGGGCACCUGAUGGAGCUAGGCUUCUGGCGGAACUUGAGCACGGCCUCCUCCAGCUCCAGCUGCUUCACCAGGGCCUUCAGCUGCACCCGCCACUCCUCACAGUCCUCCAUCUGCAGCUCCAGGUUCUCCUCCGUGUUCCUCUGGGCCAGGAAGCGGCUAGUGAUGUCCUGGCCAGUCCGGGGGAGAGAGAAGCAGGUGUGGGCCAGGAUGGUGGGCAGAGGGGGCUUCACAGAACUGGUUUCUUCUGGGCCCCUCCUAGACGCUAGUGCACUUUCUCUGUGCUCAUUCACAAGUGUGAUCACAGCUCACUGCAGCCUCAACCUCCCAGACUCAAGCGAUCCUCCCACCUCAGCUUCCUGAGUAGCUGGGACCACAGGUGUGCACCACCACACUUAGCAGGGGUGAAGCGCUUUGUGGAUGUCAUUGCACACGACCCUAAUGGCAGGCAGAGAGGGUAGAUAACCCCAUGUAGAGAUAAGGAGAUCAUCACUGAAGGACGUUGUGUCACUUGAGUCACUUGUCUGACAGUGGACAAGCUUGUGUCAGGGCAGUGGUUAGGAGCUCAAGGCCUAAUAAUAAUAAACGCAGAUAC
rnacentral:lncRNA from 1 species